rnacentral:lncRNA from 1 species
UUGGCCCCCAUCCAACAGCCGGAAGGAAGAUGGCACCUGGUGGACAGCAAACGCUUUGAUGAAUACGUGAAGGAACUAGGAGUCUGAAUCGCUUUGGGAAAAACGGACUCAAUGGCCGAACCAGAUUGUAUCGUGACUUGUGAUGGCAAAAGUCUCACCAGAAAAACUGAGGGCACUUUGAGAAGACAGUGUUCCUGUACCCUGGGAGAGAAGUUUGAAGAAACCACAAGUGAGGACAGAAAAACUCAGACUAACAAGAAAACCAAAAGAUGGGAAAUUAGUGUCGGACUGUGUGAUGAGCAAAGUCACCUCUACUCACAUCUAUGAA